rfam:Salinicoccus alkaliphilus DSM 16010 genome assembly, contig: EJ97DRAFT_scaffold00005.5
GGUCCCGUGGUGUAGCGGUUAACAUGCCUGCCUGUCACGCAGGAGAUCGCGGGUUCAAUUCCCGUCGGGACCG